rnacentral:rRNA from 1 species
CGGCACGGGUGAGUAACACGUAUCCAACCUGCCGUCUACUCUUGGCCAGCCUUCUGAAAGGAAGAUUAAUCCAGGAUGGCAUCAUGAGUUCACAUGUCCGCAUGAUUAAAGGUAUUUUCCGGUAGACGAUGGGGAUGCGUUCCAUUAGAUAGUAGGCGGGGUAACGGCCCACCUAGCCAACGAUGGAUAGGGGUUCUGAGAGGAAGGUCCCCCACAUUGGAACUGAGACACGGUCCAA